rfam:Verruconis gallopava strain CBS 43764 unplaced genomic scaffold supercont1.36, whole genome shotgun sequence.
UCCGAUAUGGUCUAGUGGCUAGGAUCACCCGCUCUCAUAACAGAGCACGUGCCGGGUAGGCCCGGGUUCGAUUCCCGGUAUCGGAA